AUGCAGUUUGUCAGAGAUGGAUCUUACAACAUAUAUUUAUUAUUUUAUUUUUCAAGAAAUCGUAGUAGUUUACGACGUAUAAUCAAUGACGAAGGGGACCUCGUCCUUCGGAAAGCGGCGUAAUAAGACUCAUGCUCUAUGCCGUCGCUGCGGUUCCAAGGCUUACCUCAUCUGCAGAAGUCGUCCUGCGGGAAGUGUGGCUACCCCGAGAAGCGCAAGAGAAGUUGAAUGGGUUCCGGGAAGGGACCAAGCCCAAGCCCAGGCGUGUUGCAGUGGCUGCCUCCAAACCUGUCCUAGACACACUUUGGGUUCACUUUAAUAAAUGUGCUUGUUGGUUAAAGUUUUCUUA